AGCCGUUUUCAGCAAUUUUUAAGCCUGCAGUAAGCCACUGACAUUAACUGAAGAAAAAAAUGCAGAAUAACCAGAGAAGUAUAUGAUAGGAUUCUUUUCUUGUUCAGUGGGUAUAACCAAUAACAACCUAAAAGGAACUUCACAGAUAUUCAAAAUACUGACA